UACGUAGGUGGCAAGCGUUGUCCGGAUUUACUGGGCGUAAAGAGCGCGCAGGCGGUCAGAUAAGUCGAAUGUGAAAGCCCCCGGCUCAACUGGGGAGGGUCAUUCGAUACUGUUCGACUCGAAGGCAGGAGAGGGAAGCGGAAUUCCCGGUGUAGUGGUGAAAUGCGUAGAUAUCGGGAGGAACACCAGUGGCGAAGGCGACUCGCUGGACAAGUAUUGACGCUGAGGUGCGAAAGCGUGGGGAGCAAACAGG
rnacentral:rRNA from 1 species